CCCUAUUUGGAGCAGUCGGUAGUGCGCUCAGCUGUGGAGUCAGAGGUCGCCGGUUCGAAUUCCUGCUGUCGGAU